CACGUAGGCAGCAAGCGUUGUUCGGAGUUACUGGGCGUAAAGGGUGCGUAGGCGGUCCUAUAAGUAUGGUGUGAAAUCUCCCGGCUUAACUGGGAGGGUGCGCUAUAGACUGUGGGACUAGAGUGUGGGAGAGGAAAGUGGAAUUCCUGGUGUAGCGGUGAAAUGCGUAGAUAUCAGGAGGAACACCGGUGGUGUAAACGGCUUUCUGGACCAUAACUGACGCUGAGGCACGAAAGCGUGGGUAGCAAACAGG
rnacentral:rRNA from 1 species